UGUGGAUAUAGACAUAGCCUGAUGAAUCUGC
rnacentral:piRNA from 1 species